CGUAGGGUGCCCGGGUUACGGCUCGGGAGAAUAGGGAAUCGGGUGAAAAUCCUGAACGAACCCAUCACUGUAAGCCGCAUGCGAUUGUGUUUUGAUCACGCAAUCCCCAAGACAAAGCAUUUUUGCCACUGUUUUAAACAUAUUCAAAACGGGAAGGCGCUUUGUCCGCGGUAAGUCAGGAGACCUGCCUUACAA
rnacentral:ncRNA from 1 species